rnacentral:rRNA from 1 species
UACGUAGGGGGCGAGCGUUGUCCGGAUUUAUUGGGCGUAAAGCGCCCGCAGGCGGCUUGCCAAGUUCGAUGUGAAAUCUCCCGGCUCAACUGGGAGGGUGCAUCGAAAACUGGCAGGCUUGAGGCAGGGAGAGGGAUGUGGAAUUCCAGGUGUAGUGGUGAAAUGCGUAGAUAUCUGGAGGAACCCCCGUGGCGAAGGCGGCAUCCCGGCCCUGUCCUGACGCUCAGGGGCGAAAGCGUGGGGAGCAAACCGG